GAAAUCAUCACGGUGACUUGCAAGCAACUCACUAUACUUUAGUGCUAGACUACCUGAAUUUCUAAUUCAGGAUAGAAAGAUUUCUGGACACAGUCAAGUACUUAUGAAGUUAGUGCAUGAGUCAAGAUGGAAUUGACCACUCUAAGAGAUUGGAGAGAAUGCUUUAUGUUUCAAUUUAGUAAGAUCUUGGCCAGGACAAUCCUUAUGAGGAGUCACAGGAUUCAUCAGGUUG
rnacentral:lncRNA from 1 species